AUUAGCCAUGCAUGUCUAAGUAUAAGCAAUUUAUACAGUGAAACUGCGAAUGGCUCAUUAAAUCAGUUAUCGUUUAUUUGAUAGUACCUUACUACUUGGAUAACCGUGGUAAUUCUAGAGCUAAUACAUGCUUAAAAUCCCGACUGUUUGGAAGGGAUGUAUUUAUUAGAUAAAAAAUCAAUGUCUUCGGACUCUUUGAUGAUUCAUAAUAACUUUUCGAAUCGCAUGGCCUUGUGCUGGCGAUGGUUCAUUCAAAUUUCUGCCCUAUCAACUUUCGAUGGUAGGAUAGUGGCCUACCAUGGUUUCAACGGGUAACGGGGAAUAAGGGUUCGAUUCCGGAGAGGGAGCCUGAGAAACGGCUACCACAUCCAAGGAAGGCAGCAGGCGCGCAAAUUACCCAAUCCCGACACGGGGAGGUAGUGACAAUAAAUAACGAUACAGGGCCCUUUCGGGUCUUGUAAUUGGAAUGAGUACAAUGUAAAUACCUUAACGAGGAACAAUUGGAGGGCAAGUCUGGUGCCAGCAGCCGCGGUAAUUCCAGCUCCAAAAGCGUAUAUUAAAGUUGUUGCAGUUAAAAAGCUCGUAGUUGAACCUUGGGCUUGGUUGGCCGGUCCAUCUUUCUGAUGCGUACUGGACCCAACCGAGCCUUUCCUUCUGGCUAGCCUUUUGGCGAACCAGGACUUUUACUUUGAA
rnacentral:rRNA from 1 species